UACGGAGGGUGCGAGCGUUGUCCGGAAUCACUGGGCGUAAAGGGCGCGUAGGCGGCUCAUGAAGGCUGUGGUGAAAGUCCGGGGCUCAACCUCGGAUCGGCCGUGGCGACUCGUGGGCUGGAGCACUGUAGAGGCGGGUGGAAUUCCGGGUGUAGCGGUGGAAUGCGUAGAGAUCCGGAAGAACACCAGUGGCGAAGGCGGCCCGCUGGACCGGUACUGACGCUGAGGCGCGAAAGCGUGGGGAGCAAACGGGG
rnacentral:rRNA from 1 species